CCCGCGACAAGCGGAGGAGCAUGUGGUUUAAUUCGAUGAUACGCGAGGACCUUACCUGGGCUCGAACGUAAGAUGACUGUAGGUGAAAGCUUACAUCUCUUCGGAGCAUUUUACGAGGUGCUGCAUGGUUGUCGUCAGCUCGUGCCGUGAGGUGUCGGGUUAAGUCCCAUAACGAGCGCAACCCUACCUUUAGUUGCCAUCAGGUAAUGCUGGGGACUCUAAAGGAACUGCCUACGCAAGUAGUGAGGAAGGCGGGGAUGACGUCAAAUCAGCACGGCCCUUACGUCCAGGGCUACACACGUGCUACAAUGGCCGAUACAGAGGGCAGCUACCUGGUGACAGGAUGCAAAUCUCCAAAGUCGGUCUCAGUUCGGAUCGGAGUCUGCAACCCGACUCCGUGAAGUUGGAUUCGCUAGUAAUCGCGCAUCAGCCAUGGCGCGGUGAAUACGUUCCCGGGCCUU
rnacentral:rRNA from 1 species